rnacentral:rRNA from 1 species
UACGUAGGUGGCAAGCGUUGUUCGGAAUUAUUGGGCGUAAAGGGCGCGUAGGCGGUUUGUUAAGUCGGCUGUGAAAGCCUGGGGCUCAACCCCAGAGGGUCGGCCGAUACUGGCAAACUAGAGUACGGAAGAGGUAGCUGGAAUUCCCGGUGUAGCGGUGAAAUGCGUAGAUAUCGAGAGGAACACCUGCGGCGAAGGCGGGUUGCUGGGCUGACACUGACGCUGAGGCGCGAAAGCUAGGGGAGCGAACGGG